UCUCUAUCUACUGGAGGCCUUCCAAAGGCUUUCUUGGCUUUCUUUUACAAGAUCUGAUUCAAGUCUUAUUCAAGAGGCUAUUAAGAGUUCAACUCGCCAGCCAGCUCUCUGAUCACAUCUGACACUUGAGCACCAACAAACCUAAAAGGACAACUGUUCCUAUGGCCAACUGUGUUCUGAAGCAUCUUCCUCAGCCUAACAUCUGCUUCUGGUGCCCACUGGGGCUGUAACAAGUGGUGACCAGUAAGAAGAGACCAACCCUGCUCUUGCUGUGAAAUGGAGUCACUGUGAUGCCAGGUCUUACUCUUCAGCACUCUCUACUAAGUUUAAGAGGAUGAAGGUUCUGGAGCCUCUCUGAAAUUAUCUACUCCUGUUCCCCUGCAGAAGUUGAAGCGAGAUAACUGAGUCUUUUGCUCAGGAAGGUAGACAGUUUCUAAAUGCUAACUCAAGUUGCCAGCAUUUUGAAAGUAAUUUUUAAUAAUCUUGCUUUGGUUAGUGAAGGUACAAUUCCCUUGAUGGGCAGAGCAAGCAAUGAAGUUUCUUACAGAUACAAGCAGCUGUCUGGCUAAGCAUUAGCGGGCUCCAAGUUCAGUUAACAUAAAUCAAAGUCACCUCAGGAAGGACAAUCUUGUUCUAAUAAUGUCACUCAAUAUUUAGCCUACCUACAUUUGUAUUAAUAAUAAAGCCCUCGGGUAGGGAGCUACAUACAGCCAGCCAUUGAUCAGCACAGAGCCCAGCACUGCACUAUUGACAAGUAUUGUUUUGGAAGCAAACACAGGCUGAGCUGCAUUUAUAGCCACUGGAUUCUGUCCUCUGACAAACAUUUCUGGUCAGCCAGAUUAAUGCUGUGUUAAUGAGGCUUUGAGCCUUGCUGGUUCAGAUUGAAGCCAGCAGUUAUUUGAUACUGUAGAUUUGUUCUUUCAUUUUGGUUUUUAUGUUUGCGUGCAUGUGUGACAUACCCACAUGCCUCCCUCUAAGAUGAUUUCUAUUAAUGCCUCCUUUGAAAGGAAAAGGGAUGUGGCAUACUUGCAAGCCCAGAGAAAAAUGCCAUCUGUGUAGCUAACCUCACUGACAGUGUUGUUGGGUUAUUGUUCUUUUUAUUUUGAAAGAAUAUACUGUAGCCAUUCAGAAGUUUGAAUACCAGGUCCUUCCAAAGCAAUUGACUACUGGUCUUUAUUUUGUAAAGCUACACAAUGUUGUUUUGUGGGUUUGUUGUUUUUUAGGGGAGAGUGUUGUGGUUUGCUUUUCUUCUUCUUUUUUUUUCUUUUUUUAAUGCAUAUUGCAGAUUUUCUUUUAAUAAAGACUGAAUUAUGUUCCCACCUCAGAACAACAUAUUCUCACCACUGUCUGACUAACUGAGUAAGCAAAAUAAAACAAACUAAACUAAAACCUUCUGCAGAAUUACAUUGGAGUACUGUUUCCCAGCUCUACUUACAGUUUUCUGUAAUUAAUAUAGUUUUUAAAAAAUGGCAGUGGAGAAUUAAGGGUUGUAAUUUAUAUUCCAACUCAGAAAAAAAGAUAUGCAUAUUACAAGAAUAACAGAGUAUUAUUUUUUUUGUUACAAAAAAAUUGUUUCAGGAAAUGAUUCUCCUGUUUCUGAAUGUGAAACAGAAUCCAACAUGAAAAAGAUACUAACAUAGAUGGGUUUUGGUGCCAAGAGAAUCUGCACAAGUGUCAGGGCUGGCUGAUUGCUUGGGCAGAGCGCUUUGCAGAGCAGCAGAAGUGUUUGGAGAGCAGCAAUGGCUCGUGGACAAGUGGCUGAGAUCACCUCUUAAAAUCCAUGUCCUAGACAGCUGAGACCCUUCACUGGUUUAAUGACAGACCAAAACUGCAUCUCUAGAAAACAGCACAUGGGCCAGUUUCCCCUAGAAGAUAUCAGCUUUCUUUAUUCAUAUUCUUAUAGGGGUAAUGUGUAACUGUGUAACUCAGACCAGUUGAGUGAAAUGAUUCAAUAAGCAUUGUUAAAAGAAAGUAACACUACUUACCUCAGCACCUCUUGGCACUGUUACCUUACAAACAUUCCUACCAAAAGUCAACCAUGUUGCUCAUUGGACACCUCACAUCUUGGGCAGGGAGGGCCAAUUUCCUGGUUCCUACUGUCAUGAUAACAACCUGAUGCUAUCACAGAAUCACAGAAUCACCCGGGUUGGAAGGGACCCCAAGGAUCAUGUAGUUCCAACCCCCCUGCCUAGCAGGGCCACCAACAUACAUAUUCAGAUCAGGUUGCCCAGGACCCCGUCCAACCUGGCCUUAAACACGUCCAAGGACGGGGCAUCCACAACCUCCCUGGGCAGCCCGUUCCAGGGCCUAACCACUCUCCUAGUAAAGAACUUCCCCCUAACAUCUAACCUAAAUCUUCCCUCCUUCAACUUAAAACCAUUUCCCCUAGUCCUGCUGUUGUCAGCCCUUUUGAAGAGUUGACUCCCCUCCUGGGUGUAGGUUCCCUUCAGGUAUUGAUAGGCUGCAAUGAGGUCACCCCGCAGCCUUCUCUUCUCCAGGCUGAACAAGCCCAACUCCCUCAGCCUGUCCUCAUAGGGGAGGUGCUCCAGCCCCUUGAUCAUCUUAGUCGCCCUCCUCUGGACCCUUUCCAAAAUCUCUAUGUCUUUCUUGUACUGAGGGCUCCACACCUGGACACAGUACUCCAGAUGGGGCCUCACAAGAGCCGUGUAGAGAGGGACAAUCACCUUCCUGUCCCUGCUGGCCACCCCUCUCCUGAUGGAGCCCAGGAUCCCAUUUGCCUUUUGAGCUGCCAGAGCGCACUGCUGGCUCAUAUUC